GUGUCUAUCGUACCUUGUUGCUUCGGCGGGCCCGCCGUUUCGACGGCCGCCGGGGAGGCCUUGCGCCCCCGGGCCCGCGCCCGCCGAAGACCCCAACAUGAACGCUGUUCUGAAAGUAUGCAGUCUGAGUUGAUUAUCGUAAUCAGUUAAAACUUUCAACAACGGAUCUCUUGGUUCCGGCAUCGAUGAAGAACGCAGCGAAAUGCGAUAAGUAAUGUGAAUUGCAGAAUUCAGUGAAUCAUCGAGUCUUUGAACGCACAUUGCGCCCCCUGGUAUUCCGGGGGGCAUGCCUGUCCGAGCGUCAUUGCUGCCCUCAAGCACGGCUUGUGUGUUGGGCCCCCGUCCCCCUCUCCCGGGGGACGGGCCCGAAAGGCAGCGGCGGCACCGCGUCCGGUCCUCGAGCGUAUGGGGCUUUGUCACCUGCUCUGUAGGCCCGGCCGGCGCCAGCCGACACCCAACUUUAUUUUUCUAAGGUUGACCUCGGAUCAGGUAGGGAUACCCGCUGAACUUAAGCAUAUCAAUA
rnacentral:rRNA from 1 species